rnacentral:rRNA from 1 species
UUCGGAUUAGCUUGUUGGUGGGGUAACGGCCCACCAAGGCGACGAUCCGUAGCUGGUCUGAGAGGACGAUCAGCCACACUGGGACUGAGACACGGCCCAGACUCCUACGGGAGGCAGCAGUGGGGAAUCUUGCGCAAUGGGCGAAAGCCUGACGCAGCGACGCCGCGUGCGGGAAGAAGGCCUUCGGGUUGUAAACCGCUUUCAGGAGGGAAGAAGCUACUCGGGUUAAUAGCCCAGAGGGUGACGGUACCUCCAGAAGAAGCCCCGGCUAACUACGUGCCAGCAGCCGCGGUG